rnacentral:misc_RNA from 1 species
GAAGAAGAGGAGAAAAAAGAGAGGAAAGAAUAAGGACAAAAGGGGGGAGAGUGAGAGAAAGAGAAAGGUUGACCAUACCUUACUAGGAGAGACUGUUGGUUUUUGCGAGAAAGAGAAAGAGAGAAGCUAUUGUGAGAAUGAGAGAGAGGUCUUUUUUGAUAGUGAGAGAGAACCAGUGUGAGUGCGUGACAAAAUAAAAGUGGUGACUUAGGGUUCUUAAUUUGUUGUGUAAAAAAAUUAAAAGAGGAAAAAAAAUAGCAUUACCUUCACUGAAGUGUCACUUCAGCGCCUUGUCGCUCAGCGCCUCUCUCGCUAGGGCGGCCACCACCUA